rnacentral:rRNA from 1 species
AUUGAACGCUGGCGGCAGGCCUAACACAUGCAAGUCGAACGAGUGGCGGACGGGUGAGUAAUGUCUGCGAUACUGCCCUAUGGAUGGGGAUAACUACUGGAAACGGUAGCUAAUCCCGCAUCCCAUCGGCUGUGCCCAGAUGGGAUUAGCUAGUAGGUGGGGUAACGGCUCACCUAGGCGACGAUCCCUAACUGGUCUGAGAGGAUGACCAGCCACACUGGAACGGAGAGACGGUCCAGACUCCUACGGGAGGCAGAAGUGGGGAAUAUUGCGCAAUGGGCGAAAGCCAGAUGCAGCAAUGCCGCGUGUAGGAAGAAGGCCUUCGGGUUGUAAAAUACUUUCAACGGGGAGGCGUUACUCGCAGAGGAAGCACCGGGUAAAUCCGUGCCAGCAGCCGCGGUAAUAG